rnacentral:piRNA from 1 species
UGGAUAGUGGAUGGUAACAGACAGGU